rnacentral:rRNA from 1 species
GAUGAACGCUGGCGGCGUGCCUAAUACAUGCAAGUCGAACGAAACUUCUUUAUCACCGAGUGCUUGCACUCACCGAUAAAGAGUUGAGUGGCGAACGGGUGAGUAACACGUGGGCAACCUGCCCAAAAGAGGGGGAUAACACUUGGAAACAGGUGCUUAUACCGCAUAACCAUAAUUACCGCAUGGUAACCAUGUAAAAGGUGGCUAUACUAUCGCUUUUGGAUGGGCCCGCGGCGCAUUAACCAGUUGGUAGGGUAAAGGCUUACCAAGGCAAUGAUGCGUAGCCGAAUUGAGAGGUUGAUCGGCCACAUUGGGACUGAGACACGGCCCAAACUCCUACGGGAGGCAGCAGUAGGGAAUCUUCCACAAUGGGCGAAAGCCUGAUGGAGCAACGCCGCGUGGGUGAAGAAGGUCUUCGGAUCGUAAAACCCUGUUGUUAGAGAAGAAAGUGCGUGAGAGUAACUGUUCACGUUUCGACGGUAUCUAACCGGAAAGCCACGGCUAACUACGUG